rnacentral:rRNA from 1 species
GACGAACGCUGGCGGCGUGCUUAACACAUGCAAGUCGAACGGAAAGGCCCUGCUUUUGUGGGGUGCUCGAGUGGCGAACGGGUGAGUAACACGUGAGUAACCUGCCCUUGACUUUGGGAUAACUUCAGGAAACUGGGGCUAAUACCGGAUAGGAGCUCCUGCUGCAUGGUGGGGGUUGGAAAGUUUCGGCGGUUGGGGAUGGACUCGCGGCUUAUCAGCUUGUUGGUGGGGUAGUGGCUUACCAAGGCUUUGACGGGUAGCCGGCCUGAGAGGGUGACCGGCCACAUUGGGACUGAGCUGCGGCCCAGACUCCUACGGGAGGCAGCAGUGGGGAAUAUUGCACAAUGGGCGGAAGCCUGAUGCAGCAACGCCGCGUGCGGGAUGACGGCCUUCGGUUUGUAAACCGCUUUCGCCUGUGACGAAGCGUGAGUGACGGUAAUGGGUAAAGAAGCACCGGCUAACUACGUG